rnacentral:lncRNA from 1 species
UUGUGACCCACCAGCUCUCCCCCUUUCACGACCCUGGCCUACACAAUAGGCCUGUAAACGAAUCGAACGAACACGAACAUAUACAUGCUCGUGUUUGUUCAUUUAACCUUAAUCGAACAUGAACAUAUAAUCGAACGUUCACGAACAUAAAGGAACGGACAUAAACGAACUUCCCGCCAAACAUGUUCACGAACAGUUGAUGAACGUUCGGUUCGUUUACAGGCAUACUACACAACAAACCCCCUUCCCUUUCACCUUUCGUGUCCAAUUCUUGCCACAUUGAUAGGUGCGUUACCCUAUGACUCCAAGCCUAACGAUGUUCGCGUUCCGAUCAAUGAUAAUAUCUCACCAACAAAGUCCCGUAACACAUAACCUUAGACUGUGCAUUACAAAGGUAGAUGGGGGGUAUCAAUAGCCUCCACGUCACCAUCGCCAAGAUAGUUAUUCCAUUACAGGGGAGAUGGAUGUGGGAGUCAAUGGGAUUUCCGCCAUUGGAAUGGUGAGCGCCAAAGGCAAAGAAGUGGGGCCAUGGGCUGCUUCAACCAAUUAGUGCUAUAGUGAUGGCCAUGGGUAUUUAAGUUUCACCUAUGGUGG